rnacentral:lncRNA from 1 species
UUUCAGAAUUGGAAAUGUCAAUGAAUUAUACGUGAAGCAAUCAGAACAUUAAUCCAACAAUUUCACAAAGAGCUGAUGGACUAGUAAUGGACAAAAAAUGGUUUCUAAGACAAGACUGUACAUUAUCAGGGAGGCCUGAGCAGAGCAAGAGGGGAAGAACACUGGGUCAGAUGGGACAUGGAAAGUUUGGAUUGGAGUGUCCAGGAUAUAACACACUAGAAGGAAAUCUAAUCAAGAUGCUCCCCAGAGGUAAAUAAACUAGGCAGUACAGGGUG